CCAGCAGCAAUCGGCCUUUGCCGGCUGGGAGGGCAGUGGACGGGACAGAUGGAAAGCCAGCUGAUACCUACUUGCCAGUCUGUUCCCAAAGGUGGAGGGAUAUGCCGAGGGGCCCAGUGGAGGAGGAGAGCUGGUCUGCAGUGAGUGAACGAUCUUUCAAAGAAACAUUUUUGGAGGAACAUACCCCAAGUUCCUGAGCAGUGUGGGACAGGGCUAUUCUACCCGUUGCAAGGAUCGUUAACUGCUUCAGGAUAUGCAAAACAACGAUCAGGAGAGUCGAGGGAUGCUGCUUCCUUGAAGAUGUUUUCUACUGAGGACUGGUUGGUCCGUCAGUGAAACAUCACCUGCUCCUCAUAAAAUCCGUUCUCUUUUCAGGAUCCUUUGCCCAGUGUUGAACUAAGGAGUCAGACACAGCAUGAAAAUUUGCAGCAGUAAAACGCACGUGGUCAACCAGCAGUGAGACCAAGACAACCAGCUGACAUGGCCCAGCUCAGAAGGGUGCCAGAAGAGCUGCGCAACUGUGCCAGAACACACCAGAGAACUGGUUUCCCAAGACUGACAAGGGAAUGGCCAUGUGAAGACCAGCUAAUGAAGAAGGAGACCUGAUAAUUAAUACUGCCCUUUAUUCCCACACAGUUUAAAACUGAUAACAACUUUCCAACAACCAAAAAAAAUCACAAUUAAACCCACUAUAAGCCUCAAAGGCAGCAUCAAUUACUUGAAAUAUAUUAAUUUGUUACUAUAUUACAAAAUUCACCAGUGAGUUUAUUAUACAAAAAGAAACUUAAGCAUUUCUGAAAAAUAGCAUGAUUGUGUUUUUUAACCUCUCACAUAAAUGCCUUUCAUAAAGCAGCUGUUGUCAAGCAGCUUAAAUCCUGUUCUCUAAACAAUUGUAUUUUAAUUACUUCAAAACUACCUCAAUCUACAGGAAACAUAAGGAAACCCUGCUAAUCUGUGUAGUUAAAGAGUUUAAACAGAACAUGAUUAGCAGAAGGGUUGGCUCUAAUCUUCCUGCCCUGAAGACUGCAGAACAACCACAUCGUUCCCAACCCACACUUCACUCCCUGCUCAACCCCACAACUGCUGCAGUUUGCAUCCAAGAAUCACCUGCACUUCCAGAACUCAGUGUCAGGCAACUACUAGAACUAGGUGAUUAAAAAAAAAAAUUCCCCUGCUCCCACUAACCUACCCUGACUUCAUUUUGAAAUUACACAUCCUCCAUUCAGCUUCUUUUCACUUCUUGUCCCAAUAUCUACAAUUUAGAAAACAAAUUUUUUCCAGCUGCUUUCUAUUGGUGUUGAAAUUUAAAAAGCAAGGAGGGGUUUAUGUGACUUGCAGGGCCCAGAACCAAGGUCUCCCUGUUGAAAGCUGGUUUGCAUUCAAGUGGGAGUACUAGAGAAGUAAAAGGGAUAGGCUACCUGUCAGGAGGGUUAAGAUGAAAUACAUCCCUCUAACUCAUGAAUGCCAGGGUCUAUUGAACAAACCAAACUUGUCUGUGAAUAUAGCAGCGCCCUGAAUAAUCAAAUGCCACUUCAUGUAUGCAAAAUGCCUCUUUGGAGUUCAAGAACUAUUUUGUUACUAGUUAAAAUGUGAAAUUUCUCCUUAAAACAACAAGCUCUAGCCCAGAAACUUCUCUGUGCAUCAAACCAAUGCUGUCUGUCACAAGUAUCACAGAGAUCAUCAGAGCUGUUCCUAUGGAGACAGUAAACAGCUGGGGUGCUUGGCUCAAGUGUGGGAUAUGGGAACACUUAAUUUCAAAUAGCCAUGUAGGAUUUCCACAUGUUUUCUGAGGCUCACUGUGUGGGAAUCAGGAAAAUCGAAAAAGGCUCAGAAACACAGUUAUGACCAUUUAUUUUUUAAAAAAGUUUUAAGGCAUUUUAAAAUAAUAGCUGCAAAAUACAGAGCUAACACAGCAUAUGGAAGAGAGGAAUGUAAUAAAAAAAAGACAUUUGAUCUGCACUCAGUGGGAUGGUGAAUAAAGAAACUCUGAUCAAACUAAUGCUACAAAGACAUCUGCAGUAGCCUAAAUGAAGUUUAGUACCUGUCUUCAGAUGUCUCUCAAGAUGGACUUUUUUUUCUUUUUAUAGCUAUGUCAUACAAAGCUUCAUGUCAACUUUGUCACUAAAUACAUCUUCAUGCUACUGAACACACUGCUUCUAAUACUGGAGUAAACAGCUAAAACCAGUAGUUACUUGCAGUAUGCUCCUAGUCUUUUUGGUAGAAAGAUACAGAAGGACAGAACUUGCUCCCGACAGGGAGUACGAGCUGCUCCUGACAUCUGCACACAUCCCUGUACUUCCAGCUCCAAGCCUCCUUGGAAGGAGGAUGGAUAGCUUUGCAGGGAUGUUUUGGUGCUGUCCUGGUUGGUUGAGCACCAGCUUGGCAAAACACACUGCCUCUGCUGCCCGGUGACACUCCAGAACAGCCUUGCAAACCCUCCCAAACCUCCGAGGCUUAGCUCCUUUGAUCUAUUUUAAAACAUAUGAGGACAGACUGAAGUGUGACAAUUAGACUGCAUCAAAACCCAGACAAAUGGAA